AAGGAUAUAGCUCAGUGGUUGAGUGCUUGCCUAGCAAGCAUGAGGUCCUGGGUUCAACCCCUAGUAUCUCCA
rnacentral:tRNA from 1 species